rfam:Medicago truncatula strain A17 chromosome 6, whole genome shotgun sequence.
UUAGGAUCUAGACCUGGCAUAUCUUCAUACGACCAUGCAAAAAUGUCUGGAUACUCUCGGAGAAGUUGAAAGAUCUUCUUCUUAACCCCUUCCUCUAGAGUGGCACCAACCUUGAUUUCUCGCUUGUUCUCUUCAGUACCUAUGUUGAUAAGUUCAAUCUCUUCCUGG